AAUAAAAAGAUAGCGAAGGACGAAGUGAUACCCUCACCUCGUUUCCAAUACUAUUUCGUUCCGCCUGCCUCAACAAUGAAACGCUAGCAGCAGACGAUAGAAAAGCUGGUUGGUAGACACAAAAGCUCUGCGGGGGAAGCACUGCAGGGUGGUUUAGAGAGGCGAUCGAAGAGUUCCGGAGGGAGUACCUCUUGGAAGGAACUCAUUGGGAACUGGGUGUUAGUGACAAUUGUGGUGAUAGUGCUCGUGUUAGGGUAUUGCUAGGGACCAAACGGCAACGAACGAAGCAGUCAGAGCAAAAGUUCGUAGCCGGAAUUUAAGCCAGCCAAAAAAUAUCAAGUACACGCGCCGUUCCUUUGAUGCCUUGACAACAACGGACAAGGAAAAGAUUAGGACGAAACACAAGAAUCAAGAAAAGAAGCCAACUAGUAAGGAGGUGGGAAAGUCCAAUUUAUGCUAUUUCGUCGUGUAGGUGCGACAGUAUCGGUGGGAUGCGCAGGCGUCGGACAAGAGGCUAGAAGGAGACUAGCGUCUAUUGCGUUUGAGCCCUCAACGAUGGGCAUCUCUCCGGGCUCCAUACGAACGAGGAGCAUUAGGGCGAGCCCGCCACAGAAACGUUAGUGGAGCCUGACUGCCGGCUGCAGUGCACAACUGCUUAUGGGUGGCAGUUUUCGUGCCUCGACUUUGAAGCUCGAAUCCGUUUGCCCACGCUGGGGCGACAACUCACGUAGCGCUGGCAGAGGAGCCUAUAGAGCUAGAGGGUGCCAGUAAACAGUCCCUUAUGCAGUCACUUCGCUGUCUACUGCGGCAGUUGGAAGCAGCGGUACAAAUACGGAGAAUUGCCUUCAGGAAGGUGCUUCGACAGAUAAAUGUGUCGGCUUGGGAGAUAGUCGACAGUCACAGCAUUCUACCUGUGUUCACACGUAGAUCGUCCUACGGAUAGAACAGUGACACGGUAGCUAACCCCCGACAUAAAACGUACUAUAUCUACGCCCGGUUUCAAAUCUAGACUCACACACACUGUUGCUACUGCUUCGCCCCGUGCUGCCACAAUCGUUACUAGUAAUACGAUUGCAUCCCAGGCCCACUUCACGUAUAACCUUAGAUCCGGACGACGAACUCGCUCUAUUGCGGGCAUGAUCCGCUAGUUUUCUCACGACCGAUCGCAUGUCGCUAUUUCAUUGGAACUUAAAGGUCGGCCUGGAGACAGUGAAAUGAUCGUUACCGGACAAUGUGAAAGCAUAGCUUAGUACAUAUUGCGAGCGGGAUCAGGGGUCUGUCUAUCUGGCAACAAAUUCAGCUAAACUCUGGUGCCUGAAGCGGCUAAUCCUAUCCCACUUCCCUGUCAGUCUUUCGACUAGUUGCAUGAUUGCGACUAUUCCUCCGUAAGGAUGGUGCGGAUAGAAUGUGCAAUGACCCGUAAAUGAAGCGAAGCAAAAGGACCGGCCAUCUUCAAAACGCACUUACAAGCUAGUCCGUUAGCAUAAAGACAGGGUGCAAAAUCACACUUCCAUCAAAUUUUUCUCUUUAGUUUCGCUGCCUCCACCCGAAGGAAAGACGUUAAACACGACUUCGUGUCGACAGGACGGCAAGAAGGGACACAUGCAGAUAUAACGUAGGCUGAUAGGCAUUUGUUGAUCACUUUUGACUGGAUCUCACCGAGCCCUGGAUCGUAACGCGGACAAGAUGUACAGGGCAGGGAAUGAUCACCGGUUCAACGCUUUUGAAUAUGAAAAACUAGAUGACGCUAUUGUGCCAUGGCGAACGCCUUCUUAUCGCUUUAACGACAAUCAGGAUGCUGAUUUUUAUCACGUUUUGUACGAGAUGAAUUUCGAGGAACAUGCAGAUUCGGAGGGCCGCUAUGGAAAAACGGAUAAUCCUUUGGGUCAACGCCCCGUCGAUCAAAUUCGAAUUAUGCAUUAAUGGACACUUUUCGAGGUGUUAUCCAUAGCAUCGGCAAUGUUUGUGCACCUGAGAAGAAACGAAGCAUACGAAACAAUCAUUUUAUGUACUAAGGAUUUCCAGUAUCGGCUUAUCAGCGGUUUCUUCUAGCCAUUGGUAUUGGAAGGCUCGCGUACGCCAAGAAAUACGCAAUUGUUUGACAAGAUAACUGUCUGCAUGUCUUGAAAACAGUUCCUACUCUUGCUAUGUUCACCACCUGGCUUUUCUUUUCGGGAAUGCGCCGCGAUGUCGAAGAUCACCCGACCAACGAGCCAAGCAAGUUCGAUCGUAAUUCGGGAAACCAACUGCAGGAAAAGCGAAAAGUCAAAUUGACGUAGAAGUUUCAAAAUGGAGCUGGCGUGCCGGUAAGGAUAAUGAGGACCUGCGGAUACCCAUAGGGCCGGGCAAACAUAAUACUUCCGGUUGCAAGAUAGUGCAAAGCUCACGUUUUAGAGGGAAAUGAGUUGCCCUUUAAUAACGCCUCCCCAAAUUCUUAACCCUACAAUCUAGCAGUGAAAGUGUGCUAUGAACGGUACCGGUAUAAACACAAAAUAAAUGAUGGAACUCCAGUCUCU